GAGAGAGAGAGAGAGAGAGAGAGAGAGAGAGAGAGAGAGAGAGAGAGAGAGAGAGAGAGAGAGAGAGAGAGAGAGAGAGAGAGAGAUUUACUUGAUUGUUUAGUUUUCACAAGCUUUAUUAUGAUGAUUAUAAACAGUAAUCUCUUAUUGGAUGUUGUAGAGGCAUUCUUAGGAAAGGCUGUGAAAAGAAAUUUACUUCACUCAGUUGCAUGGUGAAACAAACAAUUCUUUUAUUUCUAUUUUUUUUCUCUGAUAGAGUUGAUGUUGAUUUCAAUAUGAGAAACUAAGUACAGGUUUGAUGUGCAGCUUGUGAGCCUCUGUUAUUACAUUUCCCUCAGUAAUGAGAUGGUAGCAUGAUGAGGACUCUGUAGGAAGGCCACUUUAACUCCUUCAACAGCUGUCAUGCCUCCAUCUGUACAAGUGUAUUAGUGGUAGAAUGAAAAUAUGUUAAGUGGAGUUUUACAUGAUUGGGAAAGGCUGAUGAUUUAUGAACAUCUAUGCACUUUUCUUUGAACACUAGUAGUAAUAAGGUAUGUAGAUCUCUUCCUCCCAAACUCAUAACUGAAUGUAAGUACUGUAUAGUGGAUGACCGACAGUGUUACAUAUAAUCAUUAAAUGCAAGCUUUCACACCAUUUUUUUUUACUGUGAUUUGUUUUAUUUUGGUUUUCAGCAUUAUAGUUUUCCUGCUUUCAUUACUAAAAACUACUAUACUUUACCUUGAGUCAGCCAAUUUUUGUGAACUGAGAUUUUUAACAAAGACAAAUUCAGGUACCUUAGUAUAGUGGUUUUAAUUGCAUUUAUUUUUUUUGUAUUAUAGUACAGCAUAACUAUAUAUAUGAGCAUACUACAGGUUUAUGUAUGUUUAGGAAAUAUCAACUCAUUGAGGAAUUGCAAGACUCAUUGCAUCAUGUCAGACGUUUACCUCGAGAAAUGUUUGCAAUACUAAAGUGAGGUUUGUGUUGUGAAAGAAACCACCUAUAUUUGUAGAAAGUCGUGAAUAAUUUGAAACAAUUCUAUAGCCAGUUUUGUGUCAGUCUCCAUACAAAUCAUGUAACUACUAGUCUAUGAGCCAGAUUACAAAUUAGAGGGAAACAGUGCUUUUCUAAAAUGUUAAUAUCCACAGCUUGUAAUAAGUCAUGAUUAUUAUUUUCUUGUAAGGUCUCGGCUUUCCACAGAAAAUAUCUUGUUGAAUACAAGUCAGAUACAGAUACAAAUAAAUUUUAUACCAAUG